rnacentral:rRNA from 1 species
UACGUAGGGGGCGAGCGUUGUCCGGAAUUAUUGGGCGUAAAGAGCUCGUAGGCGGUUCCGUAAGUCGUGAAGUCAAAUCUCUGGGCUCAACCCAGAAUCGCUUCCGAUACUGCGGUGACUGGAGUCCGGUAGGGGAGUGUGGAAUUCCUGGUGUAGCGGUGAAAUGCGCAGAUAUCAGGAGGAACACCAACAGCGAAGGCAGCACUCUGGGCCGGUACUGACGCUGAGGAGCGAAAGCAUGGGGAGCGAACAGG